GAGGCUUGACUGCCGCAGUGCGCGCCCCGCACCCCCGCGCGGGCCCGUGCGCCCCGAGGGCGGUGCACGCGCGCGCGCAGCCCGGGGCUAUAAAAGGCUCGCCGCCUGCGGCCAGGAGAGCUUGCCGUCGCCGAGAAGCCAGCUCCUCUCGACAUGGACCCCGAGACCUGCCCCUGCCCGACUGGCGGCACCUGUACCUGUACGGAUUCCUGCAAGUGUGAGGGAUGCAAAUGCACAUCCUGCAAGAAGAGUUGCUGCUCCUGCUGCCCGGCCGAGUGUGAGAAAUGCGCCCAGGACUGUGUGUGCAAAGGCUCAGAGGGCUCCAAGGCGGAGGCGGAGAAAUGCAGCUGCUGCCAAUGAGAGGCCCCGGGGGCCGGGGGUGAACAGCGCUGGGCCCCCCCGCACCGUAGGCCAGUGACAAUAAAUCCUGCGAAUGGCA